UAAGGCUGUUAGAGCGGAGCGGCUCCACCCCUUACCAUCCCGAACAGGGUCGUGAAACGUUCCAGCGGAGACGAUACUUAAGCCACAAGGCUUCGGGAAAAUAUCUCACAGCUGUAA
rnacentral:rRNA from 1 species